ensembl:lncRNA
CAGGAUCUGAGCAUAUUGCUUUAUCUCAGGUGUGCUCUGGGCAGAGGGAAGUGCAGUGGAGUCUGCCCGUCUCCAGGAGAGUGCAACCAUUUGUCUUGGCCUUGCAGGUCUUGAGGCUGGGUAGUGCCACAGCCAUGUGAGGUGAACUCACACCUCAGCCCUGCUAUGUGUGGGCACUGGGAGAUGUUUAUUUCUGCCGUGUGCUCCGAAGGGGGAAUGGUGCUUGUUGAUACAGCACAGCUAUGAUGAAAAUAUUCUGGGGCCAAAUGCAGGAGCCACUGAUGUUGGUGGAGACAUUUUCCUUGGAGCAAAAAGUCUGCAAAAUGGCCCUUUCAUUUUCCAUGUGGAAGUAAGGCAAAGAACUGAAGGUUCUGCAGAAAGGACCUCAACGGAGAAAAGUUGGAAUAAUUUUGAAGAAAGGACGAAGGAAAAGGCAAUAAGCUAAACCCAGCU